UACGAAGGGUGCAAGCGUUACUCGGAAUUACUGGGCGUAAAGCGUGCGCAGGCGGUUCGUUGUGUCGGCGGUGAAAGCCCCGGGCUUAACCUGGGAAUGGCCGUCGAAACUGGCGAACUGGAGUGUGGCAGAGGGGGGUGGAAUUCCGCGUGUAGCAGUGAAAUGCGUAGAGAUGCGGAGGAACACCGAUGGCGAAGGCAGGCCCCCUGGGCUGACACUGACGCCUCAGGCACGAAAGCGUGGGGAGCAAACAGG
rnacentral:rRNA from 1 species